GUGUCAGCAGCCGCGGUAAUACGUAGGCAGCAAGCGUUGUUCGGAAUUACUGGGCGUAAAGCGAGUGUAGGUGGUGCUAUAAGUUUGGUGUGAAAUCUCCCGGCUCAACUGGGAGGGUGCGCCGAAGACUGUAGUGCUAGAGUGUGGGAGAGGUAGGCGGAAUUCCUGGUGUAGCGGUGAAAUGCGUAGAUAUCAGGAGGAACACCUGCGGUGUAGACGGCUUACUGGACCACGACUGACACUGAAACUCGAAAGUGUGGGGAGCAAACAGGAUUAGAUACCCUGGUAGUCC
rnacentral:rRNA from 1 species